UUUCGAUUCUUUUUUGGGCUUCAUGCACUUCCCAGAAGUUCCCUUGGUGCUACGAAGUUCACAAGUCAUAGGUGAAACCAUCGCCUUCUUCUUUGACACAACACUGCAACACAGCCGACAAGCUUAAUGGGAACUCAGUUUGGAUUGGAACUGUUCCGACUCAACAUUUUCUAAGAUAUGAGCUUUCCAAUCCGAAGUUUUUUGAGAACUUCAUGUACAGUUUGAGAAUAAUGCUCACCGUUGAGAUUGUUGCUUCAAAAAAAGCAGCUUCGCUCUUCUAAUGCUUUCCCGCGAUUGCGUUUGUGAAGUAAUAAUCGGAGUCCUCUGCUGUUUUUGUGCCCCUACCCUCUGCAACGUGCCGGAGACGGCCGAGAGUUUACUUCUGAUCCUCUGUGAGGAAAACAGCACUAGUUAUUCUUAAAGGAUCGGUACUUUAGGAAAAAAUUUCAUUGCUUUUAUGGAGAAGAAACUGUAUUAGGACGAGAGCCUGGACUUACAGGCCUAUCCUGCUGUAUUUUCACUUUAUUCUGCUGACAGCUGCUCUCAUCUUCACUUUGUCCAGGGACAUUUCCAUUCCUCUGUAGUUGAAGGCACAAUGAAUACCCAUGAGUUCUCGUGAUCUAUAAUGAAACAUUGGGUCUAUUAGAAAGAGAA